rnacentral:rRNA from 1 species
AAGUGCAGUCAUAUCACACUGUAGGACUGGUUACUCACUGAAGCUAAUCAGGGCUGAGCCUGGUCAGUACCUGGAUGGGAAACCACAUGGGAAAACUAGGUUGCUGCUGGAA